CCUACGGGAGGCAGCAGUAAGGAAUAUUGGUCAAUGGACGCAAGUCUGAACCAGCCAUGCCGCGUGAAGGAUUAAGGCCCUCUGGGUUGUAAACUUCUUUUAUAGGGGACGAAAAAAGGGCAUUCUUGCUCACUUGACGGUACCCUAGGAAUAAGCACCGGCUAACUCCGUGCCAGCAGCCGCGGUAAUACGGAGGGUGCAAGCGUUAUCUGGAUUUACUGGGUUUAAAGGGUGCGUAGGUGGGUUGGUAAGUCAGUGGUGAAAUCUUCGAGCUUAACUCGGAAACUGCCAUUGAUACUAUCAAUCUUGAAUCAUCUAGAGGUAAGCGGAAUAUGUCAUGUAGCGGUGAAAUGCUUAGAUAUGACAUAGAACACCAAUUGCGAAGGCAGCUUACUAUGGAUGUAUUGACACUGAGGCACGAAAGCGUGGGGAUCAAACAGGAUUAGAUACCCUGGUAGUCCACGCCCUAAACGAUGGAUACUCGACAUUUGUGAUAUACUAUAAGUGUCUGAGCGAAAGNAUAAUAUCCACCNGAGACGACGCGAGUAGAACGACAANAGAUAGAGGCGNGAGACGAGCGACGGACGACGACGAGGGAGGAGG
rnacentral:rRNA from 1 species